UAGGGAGGGUGCAAGCAUUGAUCGGAAUUACUGGGCGUAAAGGGCGCGUAGGCGGCCGAAAAAGUCAGAUGUGAAAUUCCAGGGCUCAACCCUGGAGCUGCAUUUGAAACUUUUCGGCUAGAGUGCAAUUAGGGAAAACGGAAUUCCACGUGUAGCGGUGAAAUGCGUAGAUAUGUGGAAGAACACCGGUGGUGAAGACGGUUUUCUGGGUUGUAACUGACGCUGAGUCGCGAAAGCUAGGGGAGCAAACAGG
rnacentral:rRNA from 1 species